UACAGAGGUCUCAAGCGUUGUUCGGAUUCAUUGGGCGUAAAGGGUGCGUAGGCGGCGCGGUAAGUCGGGUGUGAAAGCCCUGGGCUCAACUCAGGAAUGGCAUUGGAAACUGGCGGGCUGGAGUACUGGAGAGGGAAGCGGAAUUCCUGGUGUAGCGGUGAAAUGCGUAGAUACCAGGAGGAACACCGGUGGCGAAGGCGGCUUCCUGGCCAAGUACUGACGCUGAGGCACGAAAGCGUGGGGAGCGAACGGG
rnacentral:rRNA from 1 species